GCUACGGGUGGCUGCAGUGAGGAAUAUUGGUCAAUGGGCGCGAGCCUGAACCAGCCAAGUCGCGUGAGGGAAGACGGUCCUAUGGAUUGUAAACCUCUUUUGUCGGGGAGCAAAAGACGCCACGCGUGGCGUUCCGAGAGUACCCGAAGAAAAAGCAUCGGAUAACUCCGGGCCAGCAGCCGCGGUAAUUCGGAGGAUGCGAGCGUUAUCCGGAUUUCUUGGGUUUAAAGGGUGUGCAGGCGGGAGAUCAAGGUAGAGGUAAAAUGGAGAGGUGCAACCUCUUCGAGUCGUUGAAACUGGUUUUCUUGAGUGAGCGAGAAGUAUGCGGAAUGCGUGGUGUAGCGGUGAAAUGCAUAGAUA
rnacentral:rRNA from 1 species